GGCCUCAUAGCUUAGUUGGCUAGAGCGUUGGCUGUACUAAAGCCUUCCCAUUGUUGGCGUGAGUUUGAAUCCCACCGAGGCCG
rnacentral:tRNA from 1 species